rnacentral:rRNA from 1 species
UACGAAGGGGGGCUAGCGUUGCUCGGAAUCACUGGGCGUAAAGCGCACGUAGGCGGAUCUUUAAGUCAGGGGUGAAAUCCCAAGGCUCAACCUUGGAACUGCCUUUGAUACUGGGGAUCUCGAGUCCGGAAGAGGUGAGUGGAACUGCGAGUGUAGAGGUGAAAUUCGUAGAUAUUCGCAAGAACACCAGUGGCGAAGGCGGCUCACUGGUCCGGUACUGGACGCUGAGGUGCGAAAGCGUGGGGAGCAAACAGGG